rnacentral:rRNA from 1 species
AUUGAACGCUGGCGGCAUGCCUUACACAUGCAAGUCGAACGGCAGCACGGGAGCAAUCCUGGUGGCGAGUGGCGAACGGGUGAGUAAUAUAUCGGAACGUGCCCAGUCGUGGGGGAUAACGUAGCGAAAGCUACGCUAAUACCGCAUACGAUCUAUAGAUGAAAGCGGGGGAUCGCAAGACCUCGCGCGAUUGGAGCGGCCGAUAUCAGAUUAGGUAGUUGGUGAGGUAAAGGCUCACCAAGCCGACGAUCUGUAGCUGGUCUGAGAGGACGACCAGCCACACUGGGACUGAGACACGGCCCAGACUCCUACGGGAGGCAGCAGUGGGGAAUUUUGGACAAUGGGCGCAAGCCUGAUCCAGCAAUGCCGCGUGCAGGAUGAAGGCCUUCGGGUUGUAAACUGCUUUUGUACGGAACGAAACGGUGAGCUCUAAUACAGUUUGCUAAUGACGGUACCGUAAGAAUAAGCACCGGCUAACUACGUG